rnacentral:tRNA from 1 species
UUACUCAAAGCUAAAAGCGUGUAACUGUUACUUACAAGAUGAAGUUUAUUUCUGAGUAAA